GGUCAAGCGAACAAGUGCAUGUGGUGGAUGCCUUGGCGAUCACAGGCGAUGAAGGACGCGGUAGCCUGCGAAAAGCUACGGGGAGCUGGCAAACGAGCUUUGAUCCGUAGAUGUCCGAAUGGGGAAACCCGGCCCUUUUGGGUCAUCCUGGACUGAAUACAUAGGUCCAGUGAAGCGAACGCGGUGAACUGAAACAUCUAAGUAACCGCAGGAAAAGAAAUCAACCGAGAUUCCCAAAGUAGUGGCGAGCGAAAUGGGAUGAGCCUUGCACUCUUUAUUUGUAUUGUUAGCCGAACGCUCUGGAAAGUGCGGCCAUAGCAGGUGAUAGCCCUGUAGGCGAAAACAGUAUGAAAGAACUAGGUGUGCGACAAGUAGGGCGGGACACGUGAAAUCCUGUCUGAAGAUGGGGGGACCAUCCUCCAAGGCUAAAUACUCGUGAUCGACCGAUAGUGAACCAGUACCGUGAGGGAAAGGCGAAAAGAACCCCGGGAGGGGAGUGAAAUAGAUCCUGAAACCGCAUGCAUACAAACAGUCGGAGCCUCGUAAGGGGUGACGGCGUACCUUUUGUAUAAUGGGUCAGCGACUUACGUUCAGUAGCAAGCUUAACCGUAUAGGGCAGGCGUAGCGAAAGCGAGUCCGAAUAGGGCGUUCAGUUGCUGGGCGUAGACCCGAAACCAGGUGAUCUAUCCAUGGCCAGGAUGAAGGUGCGGUAACACGUACUGGAGGUCCGAACCCACUAACGUUGAAAAGUUAGGGGAUGAGCUGUGGAUAGGGGUGAAAGGCUAAACAAACCUGGAAAUAGCUGGUUCUCUCCGAAAACUAUUUAGGUAGUGCCUCGUGUCUCACCUUCGGGGGUAGAGCACUGUCAUGGUUGGGGGGUCUAUUGCAGAUUACCCCGCCAUAGCAAACUCCGAAUACCGAAGAGUGCAAUCACGGGAGACAGACAUCGGGUGCUAACGUCCGGUGUCAAGAGGGAAACAACCCAGACCGCCAGCUAAGGUCCCCAAAUAUAGCUAAGUGGGAAACGAAGUGGGAAGGCUAAAACAGUCAGGAGGUUGGCUUAGAAGCAGCCACCCUUUAAAGAAAGCGUAAUAGCUCACUGAUCGAGUCGUCCUGCGCGGAAGAUGUAACGGGGCUAAGCUAUAUACCGAAGCUGCGGAUGCGUGCUUUGCACGCAUGGUAGGAGAGCGUUCCGUAAGCCUGCGAAGGUGCCUUGUAAAGGGUGCUGGAGGUAUCGGAAGUGCGAAUGCUGACAUGAGUAGCGAUAAAGGGGGUGAAAGGCCCCCUCGCCGUAAGCCCAAGGUUUCCUACGCAACGUUCAUCGGCGUAGGGUGAGUCGGCCCCUAAGGCGAGGCAGAAAUGCGUAGCUGAUGGGAAGCAGGUCAAUAUUCCUGCACCAUUGUUAGAUGCGAUGGGGGGACGGAUCGCGGAAGGUUGUCCGGGUGUUGGAAGUCCCGGUCGCUGCAUUGGAGAAGGCGCUUAGGCAAAUCCGGGCGCGUAAUUCAAGGGUGUGGCGCGAGCUCCUUAGGGAGCGAAGCAAUUGGAAGUGGUUCCAAGAAAAGCCUCUAAGCUUCAGUCUAACGAUGACCGUACCGCAAACCGACACAGGUGGGCGAGAUGAGUAUUCUAAGGCGCUUGAGAGAACUCGGGAGAAGGAACUCGGCAAAUUGGUACCGUAACUUCGGGAUAAGGUACGCCCUUGUAGCUUGACUGGCCUGCGCCAGGAGGGUGAAGGGGUUGCAAUAAACUGGUGGCUGCGACUGUUUAAUAAAAACACAGCACUCUGCAAACACGAAAGUGGACGUAUAGGGUGUGACGCCUGCCCGGUGCCGGAAGAUUAAAUGAUGGGGUGCAAGCUCUUGAUUGAAGUCCCGGUAAACGGCGGCCGUAACUAUAACGGUCCUAAGGUAGCGAAAUUCCUUGUCGGGUAAGUUCCGACCUGCACGAAUGGCGUAACGAUGGCCACACUGUCUCCUCCCGAGACUCAGCGAAGUUGAAGUGUUUGUGAUGAUGCAAUCUACCCGCGGCUAGACGGAAAGACCCCAUGAACCUUUACUGUAGCUUUGCAUUGGACUUUGAACCGAUCUGUGUAGGAUAGGUGGGAGGCUAUGAAACCGGAACGCUAGUUUCGGUGGAGCCGUCCUUGAAAUACCACCCUGGUUUGUUUGAGGUUCUAACCUUGGCCCGUGAUCCGGGUCGGGGACAGUGCAUGGUAGGCAGUUUGACUGGGGCGGUCUCCUCCCAAAGCGUAACGGAGGAGUACGAAGGUACGCUAGGUACGGUCGGAAAUCGUGCUGAUAGUGCAAUGGCAUAAGCGUGCUUAACUGCGAGACCGACAAGUCGAGCAGGUGCGAAAGCAGGUCAUAGUGAUCCGGUGGUUCUGUAUGGAAGGGCCAUCGCUCAACGGAUAAAAGGUACUCUGGGGAUAACAGGCUGAUACCGCCCAAGAGUUCAUAUCGACGGCGGUGUUUGGCACCUCGAUGUCGGCUCAUCUCAUCCUGGGGCUGUAGCCGGUCCCAAGGGUAUGGCUGUUCGCCAUUUAAAGAGGUACGUGAGCUGGGUUUAAAACGUCGUGAGACAGUUUGGUCCCUAUCUGCCGUGGGCGUUGGAUAUUUGAAGGGGGCUGCUCCUAGUACGAGAGGACCGGAGUGGACGAACCUCUGGUGUACCGGUUGUCACGCCAGUGGCAUCGCCGGGUAGCUAUGUUCGGAAGAGAUAACCGCUGAAAGCAUCUAAGCGGGAAACUCGCCUUAAGAUGAGAUAUCCCUGGGGACUAGAUCCCCUUGAAGGGUCGUUCGAGACCAGGACGUUGAUAGGUCAGGUGUGUAAGCGCAGUAAUGCGUUCAGCUAACUGAUACUAAUUGCCCGUAAGGCUUGAUCCU
rnacentral:rRNA from 1 species